UAAGCGGAAGACCUGCACACUUCCCAUUAGUUCACAGGUACAACACUAAUUACGUCCAUUAUUUCACACGUACAACACAUCACAUCCAGGCAUAAAUACACCCUAAAAUUAUAGUAUUGACGAAAUACUGGAUAAAUUUUUUUAGAUAAUGAAGCAUAGGAUAAACUGAGAACCAGAUGCAUUGAAUAAACGUAGAAAAACAAAGAUAGUGAGAGAUCGAGCUUUCGCGAUUUCGAUCGGUUUCCGAGAGGUUCGUGAGCCUUUGACCGGUUUAAAAUGGGAUUUGACUCUGCGUAGCACUCCGGAUGAAUUAUUCAACAGAAACGACACAAGGAUAGGAUCGCAUGCACGGCCGACGGAAUCUACCUUUUUUAAGGAAAAAAAAGAAAACGAACGAAAUCUACCUAAAAAAACAACCCGAAAGAACACUCCUUUUUUACCUCGAUCUCAAUCGAGAUUCGAGCCAACCAUACGAGUAAAUUUUUUGGUCUUGGUUUACAGAUGAAAAUGAACAAUCUAGUGGAAAAAUGAAUAAAGAUCAAUAGCGGUAAAAAGAAGUACAAAAAAUACAGAGCACACAGCUGCAAAUUUCUGGAGCAGAUUGAAGAAAAAAGACGGAGAAGAUGGAACAAGAACGCUUCGUGUUCGUGUCGUGCCCUUGAUUUCCUUCUACGGCUCACCGCAUGCAAGAAUCGCCGGCGGCGGCGGCGGAUGUUCAUGCCNNN
rnacentral:lncRNA from 1 species